rnacentral:rRNA from 1 species
GUGAAUCAUCGAGUCUUUGAACGCAUAUUGCGCUCUUUGGUAUUCCGAAGAGCAUGCUUGUUUGAGUAUCAGUAAACACCUCAACCUCCUCUUGUUUUUUCAAAAGGAGGGUGGACUUGAGCUAUCCCAACAACCUUUCCGUACGGUGAGCGGGCGUACUUGAAUGCAGGUGCAGCUGGACUUUUUAUCUGAGCUAAAAGCAUAUCUAUUUAGUCCUCGUCAAACAGGAUUAUUACUAUUGCUGCAGCUAACAUAAAGGAUAAUUGUCCUCAUUGCUGACUGAUGCAGGAUUUUACGACACUUUUAUGUGUUGUUCAACUCGAUCUCAAAUCAAGUAAGACUACCCGCUGAACUUAAGCAUAUCAAUAAGCGGAGG